CCUCAGCCCUGUGCUGGUUAACAGAAACAAAGCACAGUCUAUAAAGCAUUCCUCUGCCUAUAGCCCUGCUUGGAGGAUUUCCUGAGAGAGCUGUCCUGUUAGUCUGCCUGACUGUAAACCCUGAGAUUCCAAGCUGUUGUGACAUCAGCUGCUCCAUCUCGGCCGAGGCGCAACACAGCGAGGCACAGCUCCUUCAUCUCUUAUUCUCAUUGAUCUGAAUGCACAUGACUCAGUAGCACUGGGGAAAGGAAACCAAAGAUUCAGUUCUGAAUGGAGGAGGCAGCAAUAUUGAGGCGUGGACACGCAGCUGAGGUGGUCGAGGUGCCAUGAACAACCAUGGAAAGCAGCAGGUAUGAGAGACCUGAGUGUUUUAUGUGAGAAGCAGCUUUUAUUUGCACCACCAGUAAAGAGGAGGAGAGUUUGAGCCACGGAGGCCAAGGAACAGCACGGCUAAAGGGUCUGCCAUGGGAGGAGAGCUGCUGCCCUCUGUGACCCUCCUGCUGAGCCUCAGCCCUGCCGAAAGCCCAGCUCAGGCAAUCCCAAUGGAGAGGCUCUUGGGCGAGACCAUGGGGCAGAGAAAAUCAGGGCAAAGAACGGAGACAUAAUUAAAAAUUAGGAGCUGGGCUCCAGGAAAGCAGAUUAAGGCAUUAGGCUAAGGCAGAAGCCGCAGCCACUACACGACAGCACUUAAUUGUCUUCCCCGGGGCAGCCUGAACACCCGACUCUGGGCGUUUGCUGUUGUUUUGGAGGCUGCUGUGUGGGUCGGCGCACAGCAUCUGCCUGCUUUCCCCUCUGCAGCCUGCUAUUAGCAUCUCACUGUAAUUACAUUUUCUCAAAAUGAGAUGGAAUGAAUAUGUGCUUUUCUUUUUUUUUUUUUUUUUUUUUGCAAGCAUCAAUAUUUCCAUGGGGUUAAAUUGGCAGUUGCCUGAUUUUGAAGCAAGGGCAUCAAUGUUUCUAAGCCUGACUUCUUGUCUUCUUUCCCCCUGGCCAGAUAAUAAUAGAGUUAUUGAUUGUUACUCAGGAAAAUGGACUAAAGGAACCUUUUCUUUCUAUGUAAAGAUGGAAUUUGACCUGGUGGGUUGCAAGAGGAAGACUCUGUGCUCCCUCUCUUAGCUAAUAAAUAACACGCAUUAAGAUCUAUUUAAUUAUUUGAGGCCUCCACAGCAAGAUGUUUAUAUUUUAAUGUGCAAAUCCAGCAGCAGGGUUCACGUUGAAACUGUGCCUUAAAAUAAACCACAGUGAAGACUGGACCA